GAUGAACGCUGGCGGCGUGCUUAACACAUGCAAGUCGAACGAAGCACCUCUCCCGAAGAUUGACCCAGCUUGCUGUAGAUUGAUUCAUUUGAGGUGACUGAGUGGCGGACGGGUGAGUAACGCGUGGGUAACCUGCCUCAUAGAGGGGGACAACAGUUGGAAACGACUGCUAAUACCGCAUAGUAAGAAGAAUUCGCAUGUUUUCUUCUUGAAAGAUUUAUCGCUAUGAGAUGGACCCGCGUCUGAUUAGCUAGUUGGUAAGGUAACGGCUUACCAAGGCGGAGGACAGGAGGCGGGCUGGGAGGGGGGAACGGCAACAUUGGGAUUGGGCCACGGCCCAAAUCCCUACGGAGGGCGGCGUGGGGGAUAAUGGAACAUGGGGGGAAACCCGGUGGCGGCGAGGCGGGGGGAGUAAAAAGGUAUUUGGUAAGGUAAAGCUUUUUCGGCAGGAAGAUAAUGACGGUACCUGACUAAGAAGCCCCGGCUAACUACGUG
rnacentral:rRNA from 1 species